AUGUUGUCUUCUUUUCUUCAUCUUUUUCUAAGAAAAAAAAAACCAAAAAAGUUUUGAGAGGCUCUGCAACUGAUUCGGAAAGCUUUUUUUCCUCUAAAAUGUUUUCUUCUUUAUCCUCUUCAAUCCCCAGAAAAAGGACGAUGUCAGACACUCUCCCCAAUGAAGUUGUCGCCGAAAUCCUCUCACGAUUGCCCGUGAAGUCUGUCAUCAAAUUCAGGUGCGUUUCCAAGACAUGAUGCUCUCUCAUUUCUAGCCCCCAUUUCAUCGCCACCCACCUCAGCCGGGCUCUUUCCAACCACGAAUACCCAUCCAACCUUGUUUUCUACCAUUUCGACUACCCACUCAAGAAAGACCGAUCCGCUGCCAUAUGCAUCCAUCGGCUUUCCCUUGAUCCAGAAAUGCAAGAGAGGAGUUUGGUCACUCAAGAAUCUGAUGUCAGAGGAGAUCCAGCAGAUUUCAUCGAAUUCCGUUGCUCGCGCGAUUGCAUGAUGGUAAUUGGUUCAUCUAACGGCCUAUUUUGUCUCACCAAAGGUUUUGAUUCAUACGUUCUCUGCAACCCUUGUAUUCAAAAAGCCAUAUCCAUUCCGCACCCUAACAUUGGCCUUCGGGGAUUGGAAACCCAGACUCAUGGCUUUGGGUAUUGCCCCAAGACCGACGAUUACAAAGUGGUGAGGAUUGUACAUGCCGAAGGCACCACUCAUUCUCUGGUUGAGAUUUAUACGCUUCGAACCGGCGCAUGGCGCUCUUUUAUGGCCCUCGGUCCUUCCUACUACUUUAGAGAACCCUUCGGCUCACCCUCGUUACGUAAUAUUUUCUUUAAUGGGGCAGUCCACUGGCCAGCUCGCACUCCAGAGCACCAGCGCCCGUUUCGCCACCUAAUCGUGUCGUUCGAUAUAGAGGAUGAGGUGUUUCGUGAAAUGGCUAUGCCAAAGAGUUUACAAGGCGCGGAAACCUUCGAGCUUUUUAUGGCGGUAGUUGAUGGGUUGCUUGCUCUUAUCCCCUACGGGGACGAUCAGGAUGUGCCCGUUUGGGUGAUGAAAGAGUAUGGAAGAGCGGAAUCUUGGACUAAGCAGUUCGAUAUUAAGUUUGAGUAUGGAUCAUAUGGUCCGAUAGGCUUUACAAAGAAUGGCGAAGUUCUAGUGGAACAUGAGGGAGAUUUGUGUUCUUACGAACGUAAUAGCGAACAAUCCUGGUAUCUUCACAUUUAUGAUAUAAGUGACUGGCUUUAUUUCGAUACUUAUGUGGAGUCCCUUGCUCUACUGAAUGUAGUAGAUGGAGUUUUGGGAGUGGAAACGACUUUGUAUUGUGUUAGCAAGCUCAAGGCGAAAGAAAAGAAGUGAAAAAGGAAGAUACGGAUGUAAGCUUAUGCGAAAAUCAACUACAAAUUGGCCCAUUUUCAUUCUGGUGUUAGUGUUUCCAUUCUGCAUUCUCUCACGUGGGCUAACUGUCUUUCUAGGUUGGGACAGUGAUUCAGUUGCGAGCAAGCAGGAAAAGGAGGCUUUACUGAUCCAGUCCCAAGUCAAAUCAUGCUUGGUGGUAGUAGUUCAAAUGACUUGAAAAAGAGUAUUAUCAUGUACUGCUCGUACUACAAUUAUUGGUUAGUUUGAUGGUUGUUGGACUUGGAAGGGUUUUAAUGGGUAGUAAUUACAACUUUUAUACUUAA